rnacentral:rRNA from 1 species
GACGAACGCUGGCGGCGUGCUUAACACAUGCAAGUCGAACGGAAAGGCCCUGCUUUUGUGGGGUGCUCGAGUGGCGAACGGGUGAGUAACACGUGAGUAACCUGCCCUUGACUUUGGGAUAACUUCAGGAAACUGGGGCUAAUACCGGAUAGGAGCUCCUGCUGCAUGGUGGGGGUUGGAAAGUUCCGGCGGUUGGGGAUGGACUCGCGGCUUAUCAGCUUGUUGGUGGGGUAGUGGCUUACCAAGGCUUUGACGGGUAGCCGGCCUGAGAGGGUGACCGGCAGAAUUGGGAAAGAGAUAAGGCCGAGACGGAGAAGGGAGGAAGAAGGGGGGAAGAGUGCACAAUGGGCGGAAGCCGGAUGCAGCAAGGCCGCGUGAGGGAUGACGGCCGUCGGGUUGGAAAAAGGUAUCGCCUGGGAAGAAGCGUGAGGGACGGGAAUGGGUAAAGAAGCACAGGCUAACUACGUG